AUACUUACCUCGAAGGGUUGAUACCGUCAUCGCCAAGGUGGUUUUCCAAGGACAAGCUUUUGUCAUCAUAUUCUAGAUGUGCUAACCCUUGUAAUUUUCCUGAAGGUGCUAAAUGUGGGGAACUGGCUGCAUAAUUCGUGUUAGUAAAGAACUGAAAUAUCAUUUUCCUCUG